CGAGAGCACGGCGUCACGCGAGGCGAAAAGACCACCGCGGCGCAGUGCACCGCACUCGACGUGCAGGCCCCGCACCCGUACGCUUUCUCCUCCAGCGAAUCGAGCGGGCAGCGAGCGAACGCUCCCCACGCGCACGAACCCUAGCCGCCGCUCUCCUCUCCUGCGACCCCCAACCACCACCGCUCUUCUCUCCUGUGCCUCGUCUCCCAACCACCCAACCCAAACUCCGGCGGCCUCCUCUCCCUCCAGCGCCGCUGCUCCAGCCUCACCUUCCUUCCUCUCCAAAGGAAGGGAAGGGAAGGGAAGGGAUGGGGAGGGGAGGGAAGGCCCCAGAUCGAGCGGAGCGACGCCCAGAUCCGCAGCGGCACCGGCACCAGCGCGCCGUCGCGCCGUCGUCCACCUGGUCCUCGAGGAAGGCCAUGGAUGGGGGCGGAACCCUAGCCGGCGACUCCUUUUCGUGGCCGCCAAAUCCUUGCCUGGAGCUGCACCGUCAUCCAUCUCUCUACAUGUUUCUCGAUUCACUGCCGCUGCGCGCUGUGCUUCUGGAUCACGUGCAAGUCAUUGCCAUUGGAGAGCAGGGGUGGCUUGGUAUUUAUGGUGGGCAUGGAGCAGAGGAGGAUGAGAGGGGUGGCCAUGAGACCUGAGAGAAAAGGAGAAGGGGAUGAAUCUUGAGGAAGAUCUUGGUGAAGAAAAAGGUGUUCCUAAUGGCAACGGUGGUAUAAUCAGCAAUGAGGAAAAAGGAACUGCGAUUGGAUUUGUACUAGGCUGAUGCUUCUUCGCUUGAUGCUGAAGAAAAGGAUGAUCAUAUUAAGAUCCCCAAGAACAACAGGUGCUACAUCUUCUCUUGUAUCUUUAUCUGUGUACUUUAAAUUCACAUGGACAGUCGAAUUGUCUGUAUAUACACACCUUGAAAUUAAGAAACUCUGGUGGUGCAAAGGGAGUUAGGACAGGGAAGAAAUCAGAGCAGUGACUGCUUUGCACUAGCUAUACAGGGAUCGAAAGCCUAUAGGAGUAGGAGGAGAUAGGGAGGAUGAGGAAGGAGACAAGCAGGAGGAAGAGAGAUUCUUGGGGAUUUGCUCGCCUUAUGGACUCGCUAUAAACAUGUGCUUGUUGUGCUACUCAUGCUUUUUAUCUUACCAUCAUCUCCAAUAGUGUCGAGUUCCUAUUGUUUGGCCUUGUCUUAGGAUCGAAGGAACAUUCAAAUUCUGAUGUUUGCUGAAAAUAUAAUGUAAUUUGCCCAUGAAUAGUCUUGAUUCAGCCCAGAGAAAAUAUGAAUGGUUUGGGUUUCAUCCUAUAUCCUGUUGCAGUUUACUUGGCCCUAUGCCUGGUGUGCUCACUUUCGUCUUGCCAAGGUUCCAUCUUCCUCCUUCGGCAUUCUUUUCUUUUGCUCAUUUCAUAUGUAGUAUUUUACUGAACUGUGUGUGUUUCGUGCUUGUGUCCUUUCUUCCUUGUUAGUGUUACUUAUUGUUGCCUGUUGACUUUAUACCUUGUGUGCCGCUUAUCAUUGUCUCAUUGUUUAGUUUUUGUUCUGCCAGAAAAGGGUACAUCUAUAUAAUGAAUAUAUGUUGAUUCUACAAAGCAACAUGUAUUUUGAUAUGUGUUCAAGGAAAAAUGCCGAAUCUACCUGUUCUUAUCCAUCCAAAGGUUGUGAUGUACUUUGUCAACCAAUGGAUUAUUACAAAUUUGACCUUCUCAAUAUGGUGUUCAUUUCCAUGUGCAGAAAUAGAUUGUAUCAUGCUUUGUUAUAGAUUCUGUAGGUCUGCUCUGUACCAAGAACCUGCAGAUUUCAAUAUUGCUAUGUGCAUAUAAGCUUCAUUAAUUUGUUGGGCAUUAACCUCAGUCACAUAUUAAACAUGGAUGGUAGUGAUUUCUUUUUAAAGCAUUUAUCAUUUCGAAAUUACGUCCUUCAUAGCUUGAUUAAAGGUCUAGAUAAGUAAGGUUUAUCUCUACACUAUCUUCUGCCUGUUAUAUUUUCCCUAUAAACCUCACCCUACCCGCUAUUCUGGGGCAUCCGCGGCGCUUGCAUGAUUUCGCUUGAACGAUUCACGGAGCCUGCACUUGGGUGUGAUGCACGGGAGGCUGCGCUUCGCCUCUUCCUCGCUCAGCAACAGGAGCAUUUGCAGUGGGGUGGUGCGGCCCAGGGACAGAAGUUGCUAAAGAAAGCUCCGACAUUAUAAUCUUAGAUGAUGACCUCACAUCUAUUGUGAAGGGUCAUUGGAAUGGACCAAGUUAUGAAUGUUCGUGAAAUGCGAUACUAGAAUCUUUGAAGCGGGUGCUAUCAAGAUCAUGCCAAAGGCAGAGCGUGCCAAAGGCGACGCUCAUUCCCGUUCUUAGUGAGAUGCGUUUACUCGAUGCAAAGUAUGAGCAUUGCAGACUCUGGCGAGCUGUUGAAGGUCGACGAGGAGGGCGCCGCCACCACCGUCAUCAGGCUAGUCCACAUCCACGCGCUGCUUGGCGUCACUAGGUCACCGGCACAACUCCUCACGCCCAGGUCGUUCAACAUUUUCUUUCGCUUUUGGUGCGUCACAUCUAGAGUCUUUCUUUCCCAUUUUACCGUGUUUGCAUGGUAAGAUGUUUGGUUGGAUUUGAAGGUUCGUAGACUUGGAUCCAAAGCUUCAAGCUCUUGUAGAAAUUAGAACUGAGGGCCUUUUAAAAUGAGUCCUGCAUAAUAAUGUUGUUCAGUGGGAUGCAUAAUUUUUGUUUGUAUUGAUGUACUGAUUUCAUCAUCAUAUGACUACAAUGAAGAAGCUGUGUGUAUAAAUAUUACUAACUGAUGAUACUUUGCAUCAGUGAUUUCAAUUCUGUUGGCGCUCCUUCACAUUGCUUGUGAAUGUGAGGCUUAAAAGUUUCAA